rnacentral:RNase_P_RNA from 1 species
GCAGUGCCCUGGUUUUAUCGCUGGCUCAUUAUUCUCCGGAACUUGAGCGAGAGGAAAGUCCGGGCAGCAUAGAGCACUCCGCUCCCGAAAAUAGGAGUUAUUGGUGACAGUAAAACAGGGUAGAAGAAAACAACCGCCUCUGCCUUUUAGAUAGAGGUAAGGGUGAGAAGGUGGUGUAAGAGACCACCAGGCUGGUGGUGACAUCAGUGCUGUGCCCAUCGGAGGCUGUAAGUUCAUGUAAACCAUCGUCUGAGGGUUGCUCGCCCGACUCACUCCGAUGGAGGGUAGAACGCUUGAGCCUUAAGGUAACUUAAGGUCUAGAUAAAUGAUAGAACGCUCUGUAUGUCGAGAGCCAUACACGAGACACAGAACCCGGCUUAUAGGGACACUGCUUUC